AUAUACGGCCAUAGACACAGGAAAAUACGGGAUCCCGUCCGCUCUCCCAGAGUCAAGCCUGUGAUCGUUAAACUUAUCAUCGUCGCCGUCUAGG
rnacentral:rRNA from 1 species